rnacentral:tmRNA from 1 species
GGGGGCGUAACGGCUUCGACGUAGAUGGAAACCUUUAAGUUGCAUGCCGAGGUCCUGUCCGCUCGUAAAACGGGUAGGGAAACCAUAAGUGCCGACAACUACGGCUACGCUCUAGCCGCCUAAGGCUAGCGUCCGGGGUGUGAAGCCAGGGGAAACCCCGGGCGUCCGGAUCCUGGCAAAACCGCCGAUAUAGCCUGCGCCUCGGCGGUCAAACAUCCCAGCGGGCUAGCCCCCGGAAAUUCCGCCGGUGGAAGUUCCGACGGGCGAAAGGAAUACGCCGGCUAAGCAUGUAGACGCUUAAAGGGACCUAUUUGCGGACGCGGGUUCGACUCCCGCCGCCUCCACCA